GGGCCAUUAGCUCAAUCAGGUAGAGCAGCUGACUCUUAAUCAGAAGGUUACAGGUUCGAUUCCUGUAUGGCCCACCA
rnacentral:tRNA from 1 species